rnacentral:rRNA from 1 species
AUUGAACGCUGGCGGCAUGCUUUACACAUGCAAGUCGAACGGUAACAGGUUAAGCUGACGAGUGGCGAACGGGUGAGUAAUGCAUCGGAACGUGCCCGAUCGUGGGGGGUAACGCAGCGAAAGCUGCGCUAAUACCGCAUACGAUCUGAGGAUGAAAGCGGGGGACCGUAAGGCCUCGCGCGAUCGGAGCGGCCGAUGUCAGAUUAGGUAGUUGGUGGGGUAAAGGCCCACCAAGCCGACGAUCUGUAGCUGGUCUGAGAGGACGACCAGCCACACUGGGACUGAGACACGGCCCAGACUCCUACGGGAGGCAGCAGUGGGGAAUUUUGGACAAUGGGCGAAAGCCUAAUCCAGCAAUGCCGCGUGCAGGAAGAAGGCCUUCGGGUUGUAAACUGCUUUUGUACGGAGCGAAAAGGUCCUUUCUAAUACAAGGGGCUCAUGACGGUACCGUAAGAAUAAGCACCGGCUAACUACGUGCCAGCCGCCGCCGUAACAC